AUUCAGAUGAUUCGAUCUGCCUGACAGUAGUCGGGGAGCAAAGCCAGUGCGCCUGGCCUCACUAUUAAUCACAAGACAUUUUGUUAAUGAGCAAGGUUUUUUCGUUGCAAGAGGCAAUUUUGUUAGGAAACGAAAAUGAAGCCACUCUUAUCCCCAGAAUGCAUGAAGCGCCCAAGCCUUGGGGGCUUUUUGGCUUGUGAACCACUGAAAGUGAGCCUUUGGCACUGACUCUACUCUUUCCCUUCACACUUUUUUCCUACCCCUCCAUAGAAAGCCAAAUUCAACUGGGACCCGGAAACCGUGGGGAUGAUCCACGGUUCCUUCUUUUGGGGCUACAUCAUCACUCAGAUUCCGGGAGGCUACAUCGCGUCUCGGCUGGCAGCCAACAGGGUUUUCGGAGCUGCCAUACUUCUUACCUCUACCCUAAAUAUGCUAAUUCCAUCAGCAGCCAGAGUGCAUUAUGGAUGUGUCAUCUUUGUCAGAAUACUGCAGGGACUUGUUGAGGGUGUGACCUACCCAGCAUGUCAUGGGAUAUGGAGCAAAUGGGCCCCACCUCUAGAGAGGAGUAGACUG
rnacentral:sRNA from 1 species